AUUGAACGCUGGCGGCAGGCCUAACACAUGCAAGUCGAACGAGUGGCGGACGGGUGAGUAAUGUCUGGGAAACUGCCAGAUGGAGGGGGAUAACUACUGGAAACGGUAGCUAAUACCGCAUACCAUCGGAUGUGCCCAGAGGGGCUUAGCUAGGAGGUGGGGUAACGGCUCACCUAGGCGACGAUCCCUCGCUGGUACUAGAGGAUGACCAGCCACACUGGAACUGGGACACGGUCCAGACUCCUACGGGAGGCAGUAGUGGGGAAUAUUGCACAAUGGGCGCAAGCCUGAUGCAGCCAUGCCGCGUGUAUGAAGAAGGCCUUCGGGUUGUAAAGUACUUUCAGCGAGGAGGCGUUACUCGCAGAAGAAGCACCGGCUAACUCCGUGCCAGCAGCCGCGGUAAUAC
rnacentral:rRNA from 1 species